GUGAGCAUAGUUUAAUAAAACACUAGA
rnacentral:tRNA from 1 species